GAUUAUUAAGCCAAAUAUUUCAUGAUUAUUUGAUUACCUAGGACUGUAUUUUUAGUUUAUGAUUAUUUGAUUACUAAAGAUAAGCAAAUAUUUAAUGAUUAUGUGAUUAUAUUGGCAAAAAAAUGGUGAUUAUGUGAUUACUAGGACCCCCCCCCCCCAUGAGGGGCCUCACUACCCGUGAUGGUCUCGACUGAACCUGUGUGUUUCGAACGGUCUGUUUUAUGACAUUUGUUAUUUGUUUUGUAUGGAUGACGAAUUAAUAACGAUCAUGCCAAAUUUGUAUUGAUAACCAAGAAAAGCUGUUAUUAUGGCCCCCUUUUCACUAUUAUAAACAAGAUACAUCGACCCCAUAUAUACACUUCUUCUCUGUAGAGGCGAGUUGUAGUUGACCUCAAGGGAUUUUAAGGGGUUUUUAUCGAGUCUAGUACUUCCGGUUCGGUAUCCUGUAAAAUAGUUCUAAAACGAUGUUAAUAUUUUUUCUCAAGUCCUUUUAUUGUUUUCCUUUGUAUUGUGUUACUGAUGUAAGGGAGCUACCAUUUGAUUUUUAUGGGGGGGGCUAGGAUGAAAUUUGAAAAAAAAUAGGCAGGACAGGAGUUUUGAGUAAAAAAAAAAGCAGGAUGAGACACUUUGCAAAAAAAAAAAGGCAGGAUGAGACACUUUGCAAAAAAAAAAAGGCAGGAUGACAAUUUAUCUAGGUAAAAAAAGUCAGGAUAAACUAAUAAAAAAAAGGUAGGACCGAAUAGAGUGAAAAAUAAAAAGGCAGGACAAAGAUUACAACUAAAAAAAAAAUGCAGGACAAAAUUUUUCAUCCUAGCCCCCCCA
rnacentral:lncRNA from 1 species